AAGCCCCAAUCACUGUCCAUACAGAUUCAGUUCUGCUGUACUCUCUCCCUUUCCAAGCAUGCAGAGGAGCACACCAGGUCCUCUGGAGAGGCUGCUGUGUAGCACAGGACAAGGAUUCUGCCUCAGAACAUCCCUGUGUACUUUAAUCUUCACAGCUCCUUACCUGUGUAACUGGUCAGAAGAUGAGAAGACGCUGCUGUUCAAAAUCAUCCAAAGUCAACAAAAAUCCACAUAAAGCUAUAGGUUUUAAAGGUACUCCAGUGGAAGCAAGGAAACCGUGCAAGCCUUGUCGUCCGCGAGACCAUGGAGUGUUUUCUGGACCACUUCCACAGCUGAAAUAAGCAGACUGAGAGGAGGGGGAAAAGCAUCUGCCGACAUGCACAACCAACAGUGCUUCACUAUCCUGAAGACCCUCCUUCCAAGUGCUAGUAAUCCACUUGGAAGUAAAUUUCUACAAAUGAUAAAAAUCUCAUCAUAUACAAAGGGCUGAGAAACUAGAUAAGCAUGUUAUUAAAAUAAUGGUGAUGAGCCAGAUUCAAGUAAGCUUUUCAAUAUGUCUUCUGAGGGGGCUAAAUCUGACUUUAAAAUCAAAGUGGCCUGGUUUUAACUUCCUUAAGAGUGUCAUCAGGUGGUUAUUGAAGAGCAUACUGGAAAGAUAUUAAACCUAAUCAGAUUUCAUCUGUUCCUCUAAAGCCAGAAGGCAGCUGUUCUUUCAAGACAGCAGAGUUGUGUGAUCACCUCAAUAAACAAAGCUUACUGGAGCAUGAAAUAAAUGCUAAGAAUAAUACCAAAGGGCUGAAUAACAGAGAAACUGAAGCACCCGCUGAUACUUUAGCUGUGUAUCUUCUGU